UAAGUCCUUGAUCUGUUUAUCUCAUAUGGCCAUAUGUUCAUGUUGUUUCCUAGUGAUCCGUGCCUCUUUUGAGGAUGACCAGUAAGGAUGUUUUGUUAAUCUUGUAGUGCUCUAUCCAUCCAUGUCUUUGUUUGCAAUUAUGGAGCACCCUAGCUUGAGUCAAUCGAGCUCUACUUUUGUCAUUUCGUGAAUCCGGGCAGAUUGUCUACUUGUUAGCGAUUUU
rnacentral:rRNA from 1 species